AUUUAAACCUUCAAGCUCAGCUUGGUGUUGGGUGACUGUCCGCCGCCUCCGGGCGCGUGGACUCGCCUCAAAAUUAUUGGCGGCCGGUACAUUGGCUUCGAGCGCAGCAGAAACGCGAACUCGGGCCCGUCGUAUUGGCUCCCAGAAGCUAUCUUCACAAUUUUGACCUCGGAUCAGGUAGGGAUACCCGCUGAACUUAA
rnacentral:misc_RNA from 1 species